rnacentral:rRNA from 1 species
AUGGCUGUCGUCAGCUCGUGUCGUGAGAUGUUGGGUUAAGGUCCCGCAACGAGCGCAACCCCUAUCUUAUGUUGCCAGCACGUUAUGGUGGGGACUCGUAAGAGACUGCCGGGGUCAACUCGGAGGAAGGUGGGGACGACGUCAAGUCAUCAUGCCCCUUAUGUCCAGGGCUUCACACAUGCUACAAUGGCCAGUACAGAGGGCUGCGAGACCGUGAGGUGGAGCGAAUCCCUUAAAGCUGGUCUCAGUUCGGAUCGGGGUCUGCAACUCGACCCCGUGAAGUCGGAGUCGCUAGUAAUCGCAGAUCAGCAACGCUGCGGUGAAUACGUUCCCGGGCCUU